rnacentral:rRNA from 1 species
GAAGAGUUUGAUCAUGGCUCAGAUUGAACGCUGGCGGCAGGCCUAACACAUGCAAGUCGAGCGGAUGACAGGAGCUUGCUCCUGAAUUCAGCGGCGGACGGGUGAGUAAUGCCUAGGAAUCUGCCUGGUAGUGGGGGACAACGUUUCGAAAGGAACGCUAAUACCGCAUACGUCCUACGGGAGAAAGCAGGGGACCUUCGGGCCUUGCGCUAUCAGAUGAGCCUAGGUCGGAUUAGCUAGUUGGUGAGGUAAUGGCUCACCAAGGCGACGAUCCGUAACUGGUCUGAGAGGAUGAUCAGUCACACUGGAACUGAGACACGGUCCAGACUCCUACGGGAGGCAGCAGUGGGGAAUAUUGGACAAUGGGCGAAAGCCUGAUCCAGCCAUGCCGCGUGUGUGAAGAAGGUCUUCGGAUUGUAAAGCACUUUAAGUUGGGAGGAAGGGCAUUAACCUAAUACGUUAGUGUUUUGACGUUACCGACAGAAUAAGCACCGGCUAACUCUGUGCCAGCAGCCGCGGUAAUUCCAGCUCCAAUAGCGUAUAUUAAAGUUGUUGCAGUUAAAAAGCUCGUAGUUGAAUUUCGGGAUCAAUUUAUCGGUCGUGCCAAUGGUAUGAACUGGUACAAUUGGUUUCUCCCUUCUGACGAAGCAUGAUGUCAUUAAUUUGGUGUCGUGGGGAAUCAGGACUGUUACUUUGAAAAAAUUAGAGUGUUUAAAGCAAGCAUUAGCUUGAAUACAUUAGCAUGGAAUAAUGAAAUAGGACGUUUGAUCCUAUUUCGUUGGUUUCUAGGAUCGACGUAAUGAUUAAUAGGGAUAGUUGGGGGCAUUAGUAUUCAAUUGUCAGAGGUGAAAUUCUUGGAUUUAUUGAAGACUAACUACUGCGAAAGCAUUUGCCAAGGAUGUUUUCAUUAAUCAAGAACGAAAGUUAGGGGAUCGAAGACGAUCAGAUACCGUCGUAGUCUUAACCAUAAACUAUGCCGACUAGGGAUCGGAUGAUGUUAAUUUUUUAAUGACUCAUUCGGCGCCUUACGGGAAACCAAAGUGUUUGGGUUCCGGGGGGAGUAUGGUCGCAAGGCUGAAACUUAAAGGAAUUGACGGAAGGGCACCACCAGGGGUGGAGCCUGCGGCUUAAUUUGACCCAACACGGGGAAACUCACCAGGUCCAGACAUAGUAAGGAUUGACAGAUUGAGAGCUCUUUCUUGAUUCUAUGGGUGGUGGUGCAUGGCCGUUCUUAGUUGGUGGAGUGAUUUGUCUGGUUAAUUCCGAUAACGAACGAGACCUUAACCUGCUAAAUAGCUAGGCUUAGCAUUGCUAGGUCGUCAGCUUCUUAGAGGGACUAUCGGUGUUUAACCGAUGGAAGUUUGAGGCAAUAACAGGUCUGUGAUGCCCUUAGAUGUUCUGGGCCGCACGCGCGCUACACUGAUGAAGUCAACGAGUUCACUCCCUUUGUCGGAAGACAUGGGUAAUCUUUUGAAACUUCAUCGUGCUGGGGAUAGAGCAUUGCAAUUAUUGCUCUUAAACGAGGAAUCCCUAGUAAGUACAAGUCAUCAGCUUGUGCUGAUUACGUCCCUGCCCUUUGUACACACCGCCCGUCGCUACUACCGAUUGAAUGGCUUAGUGAGGACUUCGGAUUGAGCUUCGGAAGCUGUAAAAGGCAUCCGAUUUUUAAAAAGUUGUUCAAACUUGGUCAUUUAGAGGAAGUAAAAGUCGUAACAAGG